rnacentral:rRNA from 1 species
GGUUGACCUCGGAUCAGGUAGGGAUACCCGCUGAACUUAAGCAUAUCAAUAAGCGGAGGAAAAGAAACCAACAGGGAUUACCUCAGUAACGGCGAGUGAAGCGGUAAGAGCUCAAAUUUGAAAGCUGGCUCCUUCGGGGUCCGCAUUGUAAUUUGCAGAGGAUGUUUCGGGAGCAGCCCCCAUCUAAGUGUCCUGGAACGGACCGUCAUAGAGGGUGAGAAUCCCGUAU